rnacentral:rRNA from 1 species
GUCGCCUCCUAAAAGGUAACGGAGGCGCUCAAAGGUUCCCUCAGAAUGGUUGGAAAUCAUUCAUAGAGUGUAAAGGCAUAAGGGAGCUUGACUGCGAGACCUACAAGUCGAGCAGGGUCGAAAGACGGACUUAGUGAUCCGGUGGUUCCGCAUGGAAGGGCCAUCGCUCAACGGAUAAAAGCUACCCCGGGGAUAACAGGCUUAUCUCCCCCAAGAGUUCACAUCGACGGGGAGGUUUGGCACCUCGAUGUCGGCUCAUCGCAUCCUGGGGCUGUAGUCGGUCCCAAGGGUUGGGCUGUUCGCCCAUUAAAGCGGUACGCGAGCUGGGUUCAGAACGUCGUGAGACAGUUCGGUCCCUAUCCGUCGUGGGCGU